CGCUGGCGGCGUGCUUAACACAUGCAAGUCGAACGGAAAGGCCCAGCUUGCUGGGUACUCGAGUGGCGAACGGGUGAGUAACACGUGGGUGAUCUGCCCCAAACUUCGGGAUAAGCCUGGGAAACUGGGUCUAAUACCGGAUAUGACCUGCUCCUGCAGUGGGGGUUGGUGGAAAGCUUUUGCGGUUUGGGAUGGGCCCGCGGCCUAUCAGCUUGUUGGUGGGGUAAUGGCCUACCAAGGCGACGACGGGUAGCCGACCUGAGAGGGUGAUCGGCCACACUGGGACUGAGACACGGCCCAGACUCCUACGGGAGGCAGCAGUGGGGAAUAUUGCACAAUGGGCGCAAGCCUGAUGCAGCGACGCCGCGUGAGGGAUGACGGCCUUCGGGUUGUAAACCUCUUUCGCCAGGGACGAAGCGCAAGUGACGGUACCUGGAGAAGAAGCACCGGCCAACUACGUG
rnacentral:rRNA from 1 species